rnacentral:rRNA from 1 species
UACGGAGGGUGCAAGCGUUAUCCGGAUUCACUGGGUUUAAAGGGUGCGUAGGUGGGCAGGUAAGUCAGUGGUGAAAUCCUGUAGCUUAACUACAGAACUGCCAUUGAUACUAUUUGUCUUGAAUACCCUGGAGGUGAGCGGAAUAUGUCAUGUAGCGGUGAAAUGCUUAGAUAUGACAUAGAACAUCUAUUGCGAAGGCAGCUCACUACGGGAAUAUUGACGCUGAGGCACGAAAGCGUGGGGGUCAAACAGG